UGGGACGACCUCUAAGACAGAGGCCUGUUGUGCCCUCAUUUUCAAUUCUGGAACUAGUUGCUUGCGCGGGAGCCUAAAGAUGUGCCCUUACCGACUAUUUAAGGCUGGACAAAGAAGAAUGGAAAACAUUUAGAUCUUCGCAAAUUUUUUUUUAAACUUUUUCUUCCCCUUACAACUGUGAUAUUUGAUGAUACAAAUGGUGAAAAUGAUAGUAGCAACCCACCAACAAAGAUG
rnacentral:misc_RNA from 1 species